rnacentral:rRNA from 1 species
GAUAAACGCUGGCGGCGUGCUUAACACAUGCAAGUCGAACGAAGUUUUUCCUUCGGGAGAAACUUAGUGGCGGACGGGUGAGUAACGCGUGGGUAACCUGCCCUGUACAGGGGGACAACAGCUGGAAACGGCUGCUAAUACCGCAUAAGCCCUUAGCACUGCAUGGUGCAUAGGGAAAAGGAGCAAUCCGGUACAGGAUGGACCCGCGUCUGAUUAGCCAGUUGGCAGGGUAACGGCCUACCAAAGCGACGAUCAGUAGCCGAUCUGAGAGGAUGUACGGCCACAUUGGGACUGAGACACGGCCCAGACUCCCACGGGAGGCAGCAGUGGGGAAUAUUGCACAAUGGAGGAAACUCUGAUGCAGCGACGCCGCGUGAGUGAAGAAGUAUUUCGGUAUGUAAAGCUCUAUCAGCAGGGAAGAAAAUGACGGUACCUGACGAAGAAGCACCGGCUAAAUACGUG